UAGGGAAAAAAGGUUACGACAAAAUAAGUGUUCUGCUUUAGCGAAAAACCAGCCCCUUUCUAAAAAAUAAGGUCUUUCUUUCUCACAGAAGAAUACACUAAGAAACCAGCCCCUUUGCUUCUUCUUAUUCUUCUCCUCUAAUCUUUCAUUAAUUUUCCCAGAUGCGUUACUACAUCAACUCUUUUCUAAAAUAAUGGUGUUUUGAGAUGUGCGUGGUUUCCAAUUUCUUCAAGGUGAAGUGCUGCAAAACUCUACAUUGUUGCUGAACUUUCACACUGUUUUGUCCUUCUUUUGAGAUUGCUUUGACAUCAACCAGUUCUAGCAUCUACCCAGUAACCAGUUCUUCACUCGAGCACUAGAAGUCUUAGAGUUUUGCUACUCUUUUAUACCUCCUGUAUAUCAUAGCCAUGUAUUGAAGAUAACGGACUUGAGAAGAGUUAAAGCGGAAUCGUAAGGAUUUAAGCUUCAUUUCAGGAAAAGGAACGAAACAAUCUCAAAGAUUCCUCAUGGAUUAGUUAAGAAGGCAUUCUAUUGGGAUUCUUUGAUUGAUAGAGAAGUGAAGCACCUACGGUGAAGUAAGGCAGCGAGAAGGUACUAUGAUUUUAUAUGCAAAAUAAAAAAAGAUAAGGAUAUAGUUCAACCAGAUUUUGCUCCAAAAGAUGUGUGAGGCAAUUGAAUGGAACUAUGGAAGGAUCCUAAGUGUGUCAAAAAAUCAGAAAUAAAUGCAAAAUAUCGUUGUGGCGGCGGGACUACCAUCUCCAUUGGGACUCACACGGGCGGCUCUGUCACCAUUGGGGAACAUCGCAAGAUACUUGUAAGUAUAUUCUUCGUAAGGGGUAAUCACUAGAAUUCAGUAGACAUAUUUCAGCUUCUUAAUAGGUUGAGUGGAACGGAGGAGCAGUAACUUAUUAUUAGUAAGUAGUAAUAUUUGCUAAGUUUUGUUGCUCUAUCAUAGACUGGCUUUGUUAUAUUUGUGAUGUAUGCAAAUAACACGAAGCAUCUUUAGUUUUUCAGGUGAACCCGCUUUUUCACCUGAAGCUCCUGAACCCACAUUUUUGCUCUAUCAAACGAUGCCUAAAAUAAAGAAUUGAGAAACUAAGUUAACAAGUUCACAUGCUAGCAAAUAUUUUCAGAGCAAUAUCAAGUAAUUAUAGUGAAUAGUUGGAAUCAGGUGAGAAAGUUACUUGAUUUGUGAUAUCAUAAAUAAUUAUAGCAGUUGCAGCUCCUCUGUAAUACAUUGGAGCAAGACUGUGGUAUCUCUCUUGGCCUGUUGUGUCCCAUAUUUCAAAUUUUGUAGUAGCAUCAUUUACUGCUACUGUUUGCGAGAAAAAUGCUGCACCAAUAGUUGAUUCCUACACAUAACAUAAGCUGAGUUCAAUCAAAAAGUCCAAAUAUAAAAUAGGAAGCACAAAACUAAACUGGAUUUUGCAGCUACACUUAUCAAAUGGUAAACCAAGAACCUACCUGAAAUUCAAUAAAUGAGUACUGUUGUAUACCUUCUUGGUACCUCCAUUAGUAAACUGUUUCACCUUAUCAAAGGAAAUUAAGUUCUUUGUUUUUGUAUAGGCUAUUGAAAAGGGUCGAGAUCCAACACCAAGUGAGCUACACUUGCACGUCCAUACAUAUGGUCAUGAUGAAAAAUCUUUUGUUAGUAAGCGAUCCUGACUUGUACAUGUAAGUCCAAAAUCCUAUAAUUUUACUGACUUUGUAUGUGACAUUAACGUCCUACUUGAACUACUUGUUUAACACCUAUUUCAGUCCUAAAGAUGAUAUUUGCUAACUUUUGUUUGAAUGAAGAACUUAACAGGUAACUUAUUUAUGCUUUUAUCAUUUCUUUUCCCCUAAUGUUCAUCUUCAUCAUUAAUGAAUUUCACUAAUUAUUAUGGAAUUUACCGAAAAAAUAUCAGUAAAUAUUACAGCAAAAAAUACAAAUUCAAUCUGAUAUUGAUCAAUCUUUAGCAUUUUAUCAAGUCGCGGGAGGGAAAAAGAAGAGAAGAAAAUAUGGUCUUGGAUCUCAAGCAAAAUAUUUCUAUGGGCCGAAUCUUCGUGCCUCUUCUAGAUCAUCUGAUGCUUCUUCAUCAUCAGCACCUCCGAAUGCUCAGUCAGCUCCGAUGGCGAAUUUGGAUGAGUUAGUGAUGCGAUUGAUUCCUGCAUUGACUGAUCAUAUGGUUCUUGUACUGACUGAUCACAUGCUUCCUGUGUUGGCUCAGCAAGUAAGAGGAUUGAUAGCUUCACCAUCACAUGUGCAAGAUAAUCAUACCGAUCACCCAUCAGCUAGGGCACCUCCAGUUCCUCCUCCUCCUACUAAUAUUAACGAGGUUCAUGCAUCGCUUUCUGAUGAUGACCUCCACUCUCCAGUAUCUCAGUAGUUAACUAUUUUUAUUUGAAUUUUAUUUUGGUAUUGUAGAUAUUUUGGUAUUAACAAGGUUCAUGCAUAGCUUUCUAAUGAUGACCUUCACUCUCCAGUCUCUCAAUAAUUAACUAUUUUUAUUUGAACUUUA